GGUUAAGCGACUAAGCGUACACGGUGGAUGCCCUGGCAGUCAGAGGCGAUGAAGGACGUGCUAAUCUGCGAUAAGCGUCGGUAAGGUGAUAUGAACCGUUAUAACCGGCGAUUUCCGAAUGGGGAAACCCAGUGUGAUUCGUCACACUAUCAUUAACUGAAUCCAUAGGUUAAUGAGGCGAACCGGGGGAACUGAAACAUCUAAGUACCCCGAGGAAAAGAAAUCAACCGAGAUUCCCCCAGUAGCGGCGAGCGAACGGGGAGGAGCCCAGAGCCUGAAUCAGUGUGUGUGUUAGUGGAAGCGUCUGGAAAGGCGCGCGAUACAGGGUGACAGCCCCGUACACAAAAAUGCACAUGCUGUGAGCUCGAUGAGUAGGGCGGGACACGUGGUAUCCUGUCUGAAUAUGGGGGGACCAUCCUCCAAGGCUAAAUACUCCUGACUGACCGAUAGUGAACCAGUACCGUGAGGGAAAGGCGAAAAGAACCCCGGCGAGGGGAGUGAAAAAGAACCUGAAACCGUGUACGUACAAGCAGUGGGAGCACGCUUAGGCGUGUGACUGCGUACCUUUUGUAUAAUGGGUCAGCGACUUAUAUUCUGUAGCAAGGUUAACCGAAUAGGGGAGCCGAAGGGAAACCGAGUCUUAACUGGGCGUUAAGUUGCAGGGUAUAGACCCGAAACCCGGUGAUCUAGCCAUGGGCAGGUUGAAGGUUGGGUAACACUAACUGGAGGACCGAACCGACUAAUGUUGAAAAAUUAGCGGAUGACUUGUGGCUGGGGGUGAAAGGCCAAUCAAACCGGGAGAUAGCUGGUUCUCCCCGAAAGCUAUUUAGGUAGCGCCUCGUGAAUUCAUCUCCGGGGGUAGAGCACUGUUUCGGCAAGGGGGUCAUCCCGACUUACCAACCCGAUGCAAACUGCGAAUACCGGAGAAUGUUAUCACGGGAGACACACGGCGGGUGCUAACGUCCGUCGUGAAGAGGGAAACAACCCAGACCGCCAGCUAAGGUCCCAAAGUCAUGGUUAAGUGGGAAACGAUGUGGGAAGGCCCAGACAGCCAGGAUGUUGGCUUAGAAGCAGCCAUCAUUUAAAGAAAGCGUAAUAGCUCACUGGUCGAGUCGGCCUGCGCGGAAGAUGUAACGGGGCUAAACCAUGCACCGAAGCUGCGGCAGCGACGCUUAUGCGUUGUUGGGUAGGGGAGCGUUCUGUAAGCCUGCGAAGGUGUGCUGUGAGGCAUGCUGGAGGUAUCAGAAGUGCGAAUGCUGACAUAAGUAACGAUAAAGCGGGUGAAAAGCCCGCUCGCCGGAAGACCAAGGGUUCCUGUCCAACGUUAAUCGGGGCAGGGUGAGUCGACCCCUAAGGCGAGGCCGAAAGGCGUAGUCGAUGGGAAACAGGUUAAUAUUCCUGUACUUGGUGUUACUGCGAAGGGGGACGGAGAAGGCUAUGUUGGCCGGGCGACGGUUGUCCCGGUUUAAGCGUGUAGGCUGGUUUUCCAGGCAAAUCCGGAAAAUCAAGGCUGAGGCGUGAUGACGAGGCACUACGGUGCUGAAGCAACAAAUGCCCUGCUUCCAGGAAAAGCCUCUAAGCAUCAGGUAACAUCAAAUCGUACCCCAAACCGACACAGGUGGUCAGGUAGAGAAUACCAAGGCGCUUGAGAGAACUCGGGUGAAGGAACUAGGCAAAAUGGUGCCGUAACUUCGGGAGAAGGCACGCUGAUAUGUAGGUGAAGUCCCUCGCGGAUGGAGCUGAAAUCAGUCGAAGAUACCAGCUGGCUGCAACUGUUUAUUAAAAACACAGCACUGUGCAAACACGAAAGUGGACGUAUACGGUGUGACGCCUGCCCGGUGCCGGAAGGUUAAUUGAUGGGGUUAGCGCAAGCGAAGCUCUUGAUCGAAGCCCCGGUAAACGGCGGCCGUAACUAUAACGGUCCUAAGGUAGCGAAAUUCCUUGUCGGGUAAGUUCCGACCUGCACGAAUGGCGUAAUGAUGGCCAGGCUGUCUCCACCCGAGACUCAGUGAAAUUGAACUCGCUGUGAAGAUGCAGUGUACCCGCGGCAAGACGGAAAGACCCCGUGAACCUUUACUAUAGCUUGACACUGAACAUUGAGCCUUGAUGUGUAGGAUAGGUGGGAGGCUUGGAAGUGUGGACGCCAGUCUGCAUGGAGCCGACCUUGAAAUACCACCCUUUAAUGUUUGAUGUUCUAACGUUGACCCGUGAUCCGGGUUGCGGACAGUGUCUGGUGGGUAGUUUGACUGGGGCGGUCUCCUCCUAAAGAGUAACGGAGGAGCACGAAGGUUGGCUAAUCCUGGUCGGACAUCAGGAGGUUAGUGCAAUGGCAUAAGCCAGCUUGACUGCGAGCGUGACGGCGCGAGCAGGUGCGAAAGCAGGUCAUAGUGAUCCGGUGGUUCUGAAUGGAAGGGCCAUCGCUCAACGGAUAAAAGGUACUCCGGGGAUAACAGGCUGAUACCGCCCAAGAGUUCAUAUCGACGGCGGUGUUUGGCACCUCGAUGUCGGCUCAUCACAUCCUGGGGCUGAAGUAGGUCCCAAGGGUAUGGCUGUUCGCCAUUUAAAGUGGUACGCGAGCUGGGUUUAGAACGUCGUGAGACAGUUCGGUCCCUAUCUGCCGUGGGCGCUGGAGAACUGAGGGGGCUGCUCCUAGUACGAGAGGACCGGAGUGGACGCAUCACUGGUGUUCGGGUUGUCAUGCCAAUGGCACUGCCCGGUAGCUAAAUGCGGAAGAGAUAAGUGCUGAAAGCAUCUAAGCACGAAACUUGCCCCGAGAUGAGUUCUCCCUGACUCCUUGAGAGUCCUGAAGGAACGUUGAAGACGACGACGUUGAUAGGCCGGGUGUGUAAGCGCAGCGAUGCGUUGAGCUAACCGGUACUAAUGAACCGUGAGGCUUAACCUU
rnacentral:rRNA from 1 species